GUUCCACCGAUUUUCUCCUUCCUUUUUCCCACCAAUCCCCACCGAUUUAUUUUAAUUCAUCCCGAUUUUUUCCUUUUUUAUGAGAUCACGAUUAUUUUUCCCGAACAAGGAAGAGGUGGUUCGGGAGCCCAGCCCACCCAAUCCUCUCUAGCGCCUCAAGCAGCAGACGCACGCAGGAAGCACAAACCCAUGACCCCGACCUCGCAGCGCGCUAGGGUUAGCCUGCCGCCCAUCCUCACCCGGCGCCGCCUCCGGUCCAGAUAGAUGAGACGAUAGGAUCCCCACGAGCGCGUGAAGCCCUGCCGAUGCGGGAGAUGGACCUGGAGGUUUACGUCCACGAGGGUGACGGGCAGGUCGUGCGGCGCUGCAAGGACAAGAGCACCGUCUCCGGCGUCAGGUACGUCCGUAAGGAUGCGCCUGGUAUUUCGUUCGUGCACUGCUGGUUUUCGCCAUCUUUCCCUAGAGACAGCCACUCCAGGAGGAAUGGGUGUUUCGUGGCUGCGUUGCGGCCCUCCGCAUGCAUAGGAGGCCGACUGCAGUGAGUUCAUCGGCUGCGUCCACCAGUCUUGAUGUUGCAGAGGUCAGAGGGUUUCCAGGAGAAUCAGACUAUCCCUCCAGGCCCCAAGAAAGAGGGCAAGAGUGAGCGGUGCAGUGUUAGGUUUGGAAGUACCAAGGCACAACCUUAAUUAGUGGCUGAUAGGGUGCUCUAGGUACUGCACGGCAUGGUAUUACUGACCUGCAGCUUGAUGUUUCGAUCAGGUGAGGUUUGUCGUAAUAUUCAUUGUCUAUGCUAUUGAACAUGAGCUUUGGGUACUUGACAUCGUAAAACAUGGUGAAGGAUCAAAUGAUUUGCUUCAUUUGAUCGUACAGUGUGGGCAGUUCUAGAUGAGUUGGUUGUACUGGACAUUAAUUUAGGCCAUGCUCAAAAGUUCCCGAGUUCACAUAUAUAGUAACAAAUUUGCCUUGUUUCUUCUAAAAGAGUCGAUUUUGCAUGUAUUUAACAGAAACGUUAUCAAGUCUGCUGCAUUCAAAAUCUUGAUAAUAUUUCUAAUGUAUUGAUAUGGUGUAAAUAUUUUAAAGAAUUUGUAUGUAGAAAACCAAUUACAGUUAGAUAGAAAAUUUAGCUUGCUAUAAGGAAUUCCGAGGCAGGUUUGGUCCCAAUGUCUUGGGACAAAUGCAUGGGUUUUCACUCUGCUAAUAUGGAGACCUUUGUGCCAGCUGGUUUGGUGCAUUCAGCUUAGUCAGGAACAUUCUUCAGGAUAGAGCUACUGGAAGCAAGUAACAUGUGCAUAUUAUUCGUCCAUAACAAGAACUUAAAUCCAUAAUCUGAUAAAAGUGAAGGUCAGAUAGAGGAAUAUCACUGGUCCUGUCAAGAAAGAAUGCUCCUAUUGUUUUAUUUUUGUCAAUAAACAAUUACGUGUAUGGGGGUUGCCCCAUGGAUGAAGCAAGGUGAUGCCGAUGGCCGUCCGGCCUGGUCCUCAUAUCGAUCGGUUUGUUGCUGGUCUUUGAUGCUUGAUCUUCUGUUAUCUUCAGCCGGCAUGGUGCUUAGUAAACAAGCAUGAUCUACUUAUGAGAAGUGGGUAUACUUUUUCUUCAGUUCUCUUCGUAAGAGUUCUUUGAUCCUUGUGAAGACUUGACAUGAAUUAUAGUGGAUGCAGGGCAUGAAUGGUAGGACGUGCUUCCGUCGCCGCCCCUGGUCCUCCACUCCUCCUCUCCCAUGCCUCCCCUUCUGCUAGCAGCAGCGGCCGGGGCCGCGCGAAGCAGUAACGAAGGACAACGGUGGCAGCGAGUGGACGGAUGGAGGUCACGGGCAUGUCUCCUCUCUAUGUCCUCCUGAACAUCAUAGCUCUAUACGUGUCACGGUCAAUCGGCAAUAUAAGCAACGAACGUAUCCAACCUCUUGUGAUCCCUUCGUCCCUAAGCUUUGGACCAAUGAAUUUUUCGUCUCUUCGUAAAACACACAAUUUCCAUAUCUUAUAAACUGCCCUUGCAAGUGCAAGUGAUACUGCAAAUGUCAUCUUGUUUGAUUUAUUUUGCCAUUUAUUUGAUUCGUGUCCUUCGAUUUGUAUAGUUCUUUAAUGAUUGAUAUUACUUGAUAAGAAAUGGGGAAAUACUUUGAAGUCCAAUAUAGGGGAAUAUGGCAGUUUUGGAGGUGCGGACAUUGCUUAUCUGAAUCUAUGGUUCGAUGGAUAUGACUAAUUAUCUGAAUCUAGAUGAUUUUCAUGUUUUUUCUUGCUUGCAUGAUAUGAGCAUGACUGAUGUGAAGUUCGAUAUGGGUUGGCCGUAGAGCCGGAAGUACAAUAUUUCCACUGCUGGCAUAUAUCUCCAGAUAUAUUUGUUCAUGUGUGUAAUUUUCUUCACAAGAUGUUGACUUGGUUAAGGUACUUUUUUCUUUCUGACACAGCUGAAUCACCUCAUGCACUCAGUUUUAUGCAUUGGUUUCAAAGUUGGUUGAAUGCAGAAACACACGAAUUUCAGACAUAACUGGGUUAAUGCAUUUGCGCGGGAUAUUACAUCAGAACAACCGAUAGUGGUUGUGGAGCCGUCCUUUGCGACUGCAGUUGCACUGGAAAAGAAUUCAUUGUUUCUGCAAAACCUUAGAAAUAUACUCAAAGUAAGUACUGCUUUUACUUUCAACCAUGAGACCGGAAUUUUUUUCAUUUCAUGGAUGUUUCCUUAAUGAUUUAGAAAACUGAAAUCGUGCAUUCUGUAUACCAUGGCGUGUGGCCGUGUAAACUUGUCAUGUGUUUUAUUUUUCUCAUAGAAGAGAUGUGCUGUAAUAAUUUUGGAACGACCAUAUGAGAUAUGUGGAUGUGAAUAAUGUACUGGUGCAUGCCUCCUAAAAUCGUCAACACUAGAGUCAUGCACUAACAUUUGUUUUUUCAGGCUUUCAGCAAAAUUUGAGAUGGCUAAUUAACAGAGUGGUAGAGCAUUUCGAUUCCUUUCCUUGUUUAAGUUGGACAAUCUAAAACCACACAAUGGCGUCGUGGCGGUAAUUCCAAAGGUUAUUUAGUGAGACGUAUAGGGACUUUGUCUUCCUGUUGGGUAAGGGUGGAAUGAAACACAUGAAGAUCAAGGAAACGACAACCGGUUACAGUUCAAAGGAAGCCCGUUGGCAAGAAAAACAUUGACGCUUGUCAACUCUGGCAAUGGACUAAAAACAUUCCCCUAUAAAGUCAUUUUUGAUUGUCGUAGGGAGUAUAACCAUUAAUUUAUGUGCUUCGGAAUGGUGGAGUAAAUGAGCCAGGAUUAAGUUAGAAAAGUUGUCUCAACCCGUGCAAUGGUUAAGA